UGGGGAAUAUUGCACAAUGGGCGCAAGCCUGAUGCAGCCAUGCCGCGUGUAUGAAGAAGGCCUUCGGGUUGUAAAGUACUUUCAGUCGGGAGGAAGGUGGUAACGUUAAUAACCUUAUCAAUUGACGUUACCGACAGAAGAAGCACCGGCUAACUCCGUGCCAGCAGCCGCGGUAAUACGGAGGGUGCAAGCGUUAAUCGGAAUUACUGGGCGUAAAGCGCACGCAGGCGGUUGAUUGAGUCAGAUGUGAAAUCCCCGGGCUUAACCCGGGAAUUGCAUCUGAUACUGGUCAGCUAGAGUCUUGUAGAGGGGGGUAGAAUUCCAUGUGUAGCGGUGAAAUGCGUAGAGAUGUGGAGGAAUACCGGUGGCGAAGGCGGCCCCCUGGACAAAGACUGACGCUCAGGUGCGAAAGCGUGGGGAGCAAACAGG
rnacentral:rRNA from 1 species